rnacentral:tRNA from 1 species
GUGCCCGUAGCUCAGCUGGAUAGAGCGAUAGACUGCGGAUCUAUAGAUCGGGAGUUCGAAUCCCCCCGGGCACGCCA